AACGGCUCUCUCGGGAGCUU
rnacentral:snRNA from 1 species